rnacentral:rRNA from 1 species
CGGGUGCACUGAUCCGGCCGGGCCUUUCCCUCUGUGGAACCCCAUGGCCUUCACUGGCUGUGCGGGGGAAACAGGACUUUUACUGUGAAAAAAUUAGAGUGCUCCAGGCAGGCCUAUGCUCGAAUACAUUAGCAUGGAAUAAUAGAAUAGGACGCGUGGUUCUAUUUUGUUGGUUUCUAGGACCGCCGUAAUGAUUAAUAGGGACAGUCGGGGGCAUCAGUAUUCAAUUGUCAGAGGUGAAAUUCUUGGAUCUAUUGAAGACUAACUACUGCGAAAGCAUUUGCCAAGGAUGUUUUCAUUGAUAAGGAACGAAAGUUAGGGGAUCGAAGACGAUCAGAUACCGUCGUAGUCUUAACUAUAAACUAUGCCGACUAGGGAUCGGACGAUGUUAUUUCUUGACGCGUUCGGCACCUUUCGAGAAAUCAAAGUGCUUGGGCUCCAGGGGGAGUAUGGUCGCAAGGCUGAAACUUAAAGAAAUUGACGGAAGGGCACCACCAGGGGUGGAACCUGCGGCUUAAUUUGACUCAACACGGGGAAACUCACCAGGUCCAGACACAGUGAGGAUUGACAGAUUGAGAGCUCUUUCUUGAUUCUGUGGGUGGUGGUGCAUGGCCGUUCUUAGUUGGUGGAGUGAUUUGUCUGCUUAAUUGCGAUAACGAACGAGACCCUAACCUGCUAAAUAGCCCGUACUGCUCUGGCAGUUCGCCGGCUUCUUAGAGGGACUAUCGG